AGAAGUUAGGGUUUUAGUUGACGGAAUUGUGGCGGGAUCUACAAUUCUUCUUCUUCUUCUUCUGAAAAGAAACCCAAAGAUCCCUCCAUAAUUCCCUCCACUAAAACCCUAACUUCU